rfam:Anaerostipes sp. 992a contig000004, whole genome shotgun sequence.
UGAUACCAGAGUCAAAAGGUCAUGCUGUUCAUGCUUGCAUGAAAAAGCAUGACUUUGGGACCCGUAAAACAUGAGAAAGUAGCCAUUUUUCGUAGAAAAAUGAGCGGAUUUCGAAUGUUUUUAGGAUUUCGUGAGCGUGAAACACGGAGAAAUCCGUUGGUAUCA